GUAGGUGGCAAGCGUUGUCCGGAAUUAUUGGGCGUAAAGCGCGCGCAGGCGGUUCUUUAAGUCUGAUGUGAAAGCCCACGGCUCAACCGUGGAGGGUCAUUGGAAACUGGAGAACUUGAGUACAGAAGAGGAAAGCGGAAUUCCACGUGUAGCGGUGAAAUGCGUAGAGAUGCGGAGGAACACCAGUGGCGAAGGCGGCUUUCUGGUCUGUAACUGACGCUGAGGCGCGAAAGCGUGGGGAGCAAACAGGGAUUAGAUACCCUGGUAGUCCACGCCGUAAACGAUGAGUGCUAAGUGUUAGGGGGGUUUCCGCCCCCUUAGUGCUGCAGCUAACGCAUUAAGCACUCCGCCUGGGGAGUACGGCCGCAGGGCUG
rnacentral:rRNA from 1 species